CCUUCUUCUUCUUCCUGAGACA
rnacentral:miRNA from 1 species